UCGAGCAGAGGAAAGUGGGAGCUGCAGGAGCUGAAGCGUUAAAGCGGUGAACGAGAGCAGGAAGCAGCACCGAUUCAGAUAUGA